rnacentral:rRNA from 1 species
CAAGCGGUGGAGCAUGUGGUUAAUUCGACGCAACGCGAAGAACCUUACCAGGGCUUGACAUCCCCUGACCGCGUAUGAAAGUACGUUUUCACCCUCGGGUGACAGGGAGACAGGUGGUGCAUGGUUGUCGUCAGCUCGUGUCGUGAGAUGUUGGGUUAAGUCCCGCAACGAGCGCAACCCCUACGUUUAGUUGCUAACGCGUGAAGGCGAGCACUCUAGACGAACUGCCGUUGACAAAACGGAGGAAGGUGGGGAUGACGUCAAAUCAUCAUGCCCCUUAUGUUCUGGGCUACACACGUGCUACAAUGGCCGGUACAGACGGACGCAAAGCCGCGAGGUGGAGCAAAUCCUAAAAAGCCGGUCUCAGUUCGGAUUGCAGGCUGCAAUUCGCCUGCAUGAAGUCGGAAUCGCUAGUAAUCGCAGGUCAGCAUACUGCGGUGAAUACGUUCCCGGGCCUU